AUGCAAUUCUGGUCGGUGGAGGGGGCGGAGGAGAUCCUGGGCAAGCGGGUGCGCGUCGACCGCCUCGACAGCCGGAUGCAAGAGCGCGGCCACACCAAAACCUUUGCCUGCUGGGUCUGGACCAACGACAUCGCCAACGUCCCCACCAAGCACACGUUGGGAGUGCUGCCGCGCGGUGCGGGCCGGGUCGAAGAGAUGCACUACUAG
rnacentral:rRNA from 1 species